ACGGGUGAGUAAUGUCUGGGGAUCUGCCCGAUAGAGGGGGAUAACCACUGGAAACGGUGGCUAAUACCGCAUAACGUCGCAAGACCAAAGAGGGGGACCUUCGGGCCUCUCACUAUCGGAUGAACCCAGAUGGGAUUAGCUAGUAGGCGGGGUAAUGGCCCACCUAGGCGACGAUCCCUAGCUGGUCUGAGAGGAUGACCAGCCACACUGGAACUGAGACACGGUCCAGACUCCUACGGGAGGCAGCAGUGGGGAAUAUUGCACAAUGGGCGCAAGCCUGAUGCAGCCAUGCCGCGUGUAUGAAGAAGGCCUUCGGGUUGUAAAGUACUUUCAGCGGGGAGGAAGGCGAUGUGGUUAAUAACCGCGUCGAUUGACGUUACCCGCAGAAGAAGCACCGGCUAACUCCGUGCCAGCAGCCGCGGUAAUACGGAGGGUGCAAGCGUUAAUCGGAAUUACUGGGCGUAAAGCGCACGCAGGCGGUCUGUUAAGUCAGAUGUGAAAUCCCCGGGCUUAACCUGGGAACUGCAUUUGAAACUGGCAGGCUUGAGUCUCGUAGAGGGGGGUAGAAUUCCAGGUGUAGCG
rnacentral:rRNA from 1 species